AUUGAACGCUGGCGGCAGGCCUAACACAUGCAAGUCGAGCGAGCGGCGGACGGGUGAGUAAUGUCUGGGAAACUGCCUGAUGGAGGGGGAUAACUACUGGAAACGGUAGCUAAUACAGAAUACCAUCAGAUGUGCCCAGAUGGGAUUAGCUCUUAGGUGGGGUAAUGGCUUACCUAGGCGACGAUCCCUAGCUGGUCUGAGAGGAUGACCAGACAAACUGGAACCGAUACACGGUCCAGACUCCUACGGUAGGAAGCAGUGGGGAAUAUUGCACAAUGGGCGCAAGCCUGAUGCAGCCAUGCCGCGUGUGUGAAGAAGGCCUUCGGGUUGUAAAGCACUUUCAGCGGGGAGGCGUUACCCACAGAAGAAGCACCGGCUAACUCCGUGCCAGCAGCCGCGGUAAUAC
rnacentral:rRNA from 1 species